AUGGAGAGCUUGGAGCUUGGAUGAGAGCUACUUGGGCAAUUCAUAGGGCAUCUUUAAGUCUCGAGGUUGAGCAAAAGUGCAUUUGGCACGUAAAUCGAGGACGAGCACGCAUCUCGAGGAAUCUCGAAAAAUAGUCCAAGGUUCGACCAGCAGCGCAAAAGGAAAAGAAAUAGCGGAAGGGUAGAUUUAUGUUGCCGCAUGUGGCACACUUAUCAUGUCUUUUAUUAUGUAUGAUGUAUUAAAUGAUGUAAACCCUAGCAUGUUUUGAUUAUAUUUGAGGCAUUCAGUUAAUGUAUUGGGAGACAUCAUCAUGUAUUUCGUUUGGAGAAUUUUUGGAACGAUUUCAUAUAUUAAGUGAUGUAAUAUGUUUAUGCACUAUAUCAUGUUCGAUUAGUCUUCCGUAGUCGCUAUUUUAUUGCCUGUCUUAACCGUCUAUUUAUUGAAUUUGUUAAGUUGAGAAGGCAAGACUUGGAAUUUGGGAUUUUAUGGUUCUUAGAAAUUGAUUGGAUAAAAAAUAUAUAUAUAUUCCCAAAAUUCUAAGUAGAAGUAACGCUCCAAAAAGCGGGUCGUUACACCUUAUAGUGUGCUAAUAUUCUACUUAGAAUCAAAUAACAUUUCUUGGUUCGUUUUGAUACACAAAAUAGUAUAAUACUUAACAAGUAUCAAAAAUCCAUUAGGGGUUUUAAACAUACUAAAAAUAGUUUUACUAAAAUUAUGUUUU